rnacentral:rRNA from 1 species
GACGUAGGGCGCGAGCGUUGUCCGGAUUUAUUGGGCGUAAAGAGCUCGUAGGCGGCUUGUCGCGUCGACUGUGAAAACCCGUGGCUCAACCAUGUGGUCUGCAGUCGAUACGGGCAGGCUAGAAUUCGGUAGGGGAGACUGGAAUUCCUGGUGUAGCGGUGAAAUGCGCAGAUAUCGGGAGGAACACCGGUGGCGAAGGCGGUUCUCUGGGCCUGACCUGACGCUGAGGAGCGAAAGCGUGGGGAGCGAACAGG